AGAAAGAAAGAAAGAAAGAAAGAAAGAAAGAAAGAAAGAAAGAAAUUCAACUUGAAAAAAAUAUAGAUGCAGAUUUAUAUGGAUGUGCUGAUCUCAAUAUAAAGUUUCAGACUGUGGAGUUCUAGAUGCAUGGGGAUAUACCUGAUAAAGUGCAUUCAGCCCUCUGGUUUUCUGCCAGCUUGAAGCCUCUGUCUGGAACUGUCUGCAGCAUCUGCGGCCGCUGUCAUCAUACCCACACUAUGUGAUGCCUCCUCAGAGCCCAUGGCGUCAGGCUUCCUAUUUCUCAGAUUUACAGUCCACCUGUGGAGCCCGCCUGGCUGUAAGCAAAGUAUUCUUUCAUACGGGCACUCCAUGCUUGUCUGCACCUCAUGGUUUGGCUCCUUGCUGGGCUAAAGCUGGGAGAUCGCUGAUUCCAAGGGCCUUUGUGGCAGCAGACCGUUCCUGUCUGCGUGGGAAGUGUUGUAGGAGGUAUGGACGACAUUUAGCUGGGCUGGUUACCGUCCCUCCAGACCUUCCUUCGGCCUGUCUGUCCCAGGGCACUGCACGCUUACCUUUCAUCCUGUGUUAGGUGUUUCCGCCACUAGAUGGGGCACUCCUCCAGGUUAGAGACUCAUGGUUCUGGAACCCUAGUUGUCCACCGCAGCAUCCAGCAGCUGGCAGCAAUCCCUGGACAUCUCAGGGGAUUUUAUCCGCCUGCCACUUGGGGAAGGGCUUUCCUGAGAAUCCUGCUCAGGUCAUGCUCAGAUUUUCCUUCAAUCUCAUUCUUCGAGGACCUGCUCUGUCUAGCGAUGCUACCAGCAGUUCUUGGACCCACCCUUCUGUGCUCUCUGGGUAGCUGGCUCCAGUAAUGAUAUUGCAGUUCAAUUCCUGAACUUUGUUUUAAUAACUGACAGUUACCGAAAUCUCAGUUCAGUUCAGAAUCAGUCCUGUUUGUUUCAAACUUCAAUUCACAUUCAAUCCAGAGCCUUCCUACCAUCCCUCUGGGUCAGGCUUGCCAAGUGGGUCCAGUGUCUUUGCUUGGGGUGUGGCAAGAACUCUCAAACUUGACCAAACUUUAGUCAGGCUCCUCUGAGCCCUCUUCAACUAGGAAUCAUUCUUGGCUUGUUUUGGCCAGCCCAUCCUAGUUUUUUUUUUAAUUUAAUUUUAUUUUUAUUAGAGUCGUUGAUUUACAGUGUUGUGUCAAUUUCUGCUCUAUGGCGUAGUGACCCAGUUAUUGAUACACACCACACACACACACAUUCUUUCUCUCAUGCUAUCUUCUGUCACGCUCUGUCCAAGAGAUUGGAUAUAGUUCCCUGUGCUGUACAGCAGGACUUCAUUGCUUAUCUAUUCUAAAUGGAAUACUCUGCAUCUCCCAACCGCAAACUCCUCAUCCAUCCCAUUCCCUCUCUCCCCUCCCUUGGCAACCACAAGUCUGUUCUCUAUGUCUGUGAGUCUGUUUCUGUUUUGUAGAUAGGUUCAUUUGUGCCAUAUUUGAGAUUGCCCAGACGAGUUUUAGCAAACUGGCUAUCAAGAAUCUUCCCCACUCCAAACCCCCCACCCCAGCUUCAUCCUUGAUUGCCAGUCAAAUGGCUCUUCCCUCACCCUGGAUACCUAACCAAGGUCCCAACACUCUUUCUCCUCUUCAUCUACCUUCUCCUUUUCCAGAUCCUAGCAGUGACAGGUGGCCUUGGCGAGCAAUGUUAAGGCAAUCACCACAUCUUGGGUCAUUGGUGGAUGUGUUUGGAGGACCCCCAGUCUUAUAGGAAUAGAGAAGGACAAGCCAAAUGCUCUUUCUCUUUCUUGGAGCUAAUCCCCCUCUUACACUGCCUGGGGAAUGAGUGAGGCAUUGGUUUUAUUGCUGGUUCUAAUGAAACGGUGCCUCUCCGCAAGCCUGAGGUGGCUCCGUGGCUGGCUCCAAUGACUCCAAGAGUUCUCAAUUUGAAAUGUGGAUUCAGUGGGUCACUGCUAUGGCUCAUGCAAACAUCAUUAUGGAUGCAUAAUGAUCAGGGCAUUCUAUAAUAAGAAGCACUAAGAAAUAAGAUGAAGUCACACAUGAAGCAGAGAGAAAGAAUUUGGUGAAAGAAGAAAAAAUCAGAUCCUGAGAAUUGAAAAUUAAAUUAAAAUGAAAAUACAACUAGGCUUCUUUCUUCAAACCCAAACAAAUUAUCAGAUGAGAGAUGUGCCAUGAGAUUUUGAAACCCACUGGCAACCUUGUAACAAAACAGCUGCUGGAAAGGGCGGAAGAUGGCAUCCCUGGGUGACAUGUUCCCUGUCACUCACGAUGUUAGAGGCAAAGUAAUCUCGUAACUACAGUAGGUAAACAAAAGGACGGGUUGAUAAAUUGACUUCUCCGAGGGGAAUAAUAACACGAAACAGUCCAUAUAAAAGAACUAGCAGAAAUGAGUUGCCGCAUAAAUCACUCCACAUGAAAGCAUAGAAUGAAUGACUAGACAGACAUAAGUGAGACUGUGUUAUGGAAAAAUGCAGACACUUUAUGAGAAAGAUCAUAGAAAACAUGCUCAAAUGAUUGGCUUGGAUGGAUUGUACUAAUCACGUUUAAGACAUUAUAUUAAAAUAUUUUUUUAAAAAAGAUAAGACUAAUGAGGAAGUCUUUACAACCUUGCUCUAACAUUUCAAUUGGUAGGUUUUUUCCCAAGAACUUAUCCGAAUAAGGAAUCUGAGGAAAAGUCCAGGUAAAAUGGACAACAAAGCCCAGUGAAAUCCAGCUAUGCCACUUUGCGUAAUAGUGGAUGUAAUGGAAAGAAUUUUAACUUUUUUAAUACAGAAGUUUCUACUAAGGAAGAGCGUUUCCAAAAACUAGAAAGGAUAAAGUUCCAGCAGACACAGACUACUGUAAUCUAUUAUAAGGACUCAGCAAUGAUAAAAUUAUGAUCUAAGAUUUUAAUUCACUGACUACUUCAUGCUAGCCCAUGUUGAUUAGGAUGUCUUUUGUUGCAGACCUUGAAGCCGGCACAAACUAGUUUAAACUGACAAAAAAGGAAGCAUUUGUUAAAAAGAGCAAAAAUCUAUACAAAAAAUUGAUAAGCAACAGAAUUCACUGUAUAGAACAGUGACCUAUAUUCAAUAUCUAAUGGAAAAUAAUCUGAAAAGAUAACUGAGUCACUUUGCUGUAUAGCUGAAACUAACAAAGUGUUAUCAGUCAGCUACACUUCAAUUAAAAAAAUAAAAUAAAAUGAGAAAAAAAAGACAACAACCAAAGGACAGGGAUACAGCGGGGCCACCAGAAGGACAGCAAACGUCAUCAGGCCCCUUGACUAUUUCUCACCUCCACUUUCCGCUUUCUGUUUCUCUGUGCUUCUCUGUAUCUGUGUCUUUCUAUUGGGUUGUCAGUCUCCAUAUGGAUAUGUGAUGGAUUUUUGUUUAGCUUUAUGCUCUCCCUGAAGACCAGCUGGACUCAUCUCAGCACCGUUUUCCCUUCAAUGCUUAGACCAAGAAAUGGAUCUGGGUCCUUGAAAUUUUUUCCAGCUGGUGCGAUGUUCAGUUUUGUCAGUAGAGGGUGCAAGAGAGGCAUUGCAGGAGGAAAGGAGUUUUUCUGGUUCUCAAGCGCAGACUCGACAGCGCCAAGCAAACACUUGGAGCACAGGCGCAUGCGUCGGCUCCAAGUCUGGCUCCCGGCUUUGCUGGCAGCAAUCCUGGCACCGGAUGGCUGCGGGACACACAGCUUUUCUAGUGCCUGGAGCCUGUUGUGCUUGACGGCGUGCAGCGGCCAGCGGCCGCUGUCCCAGCAACCUCUUCUUGCACCUGCUGGUUCCUCCCUCAGGAGUUUCCCGUGAAACUGGCCCCCUUGUACAUGGAGAGGAAGGAGAUAUGGAAGAAAGAGGCAAACCACUCCAGACUGGUGAAAUAGUUACCUAAUCUGGUCUUGAAGAUGUGUCCCUGUGUUAGAGCAUCCAUCUGCAGCCUGCAUGUGCCCAGCGGGUUUGGUGUGAGAGCUGGAUCUGAAAGCUGGAAGAAUCUUCCUCUGCUGCCCCCUUGGACCACGUCCUCCUGGGAGAGCACCAUUUUAGAGAAGAAAUACUCUCUCUGCUCCUAUUUUCCCCAAACCUGUGGCCCAAUACCACACCACUGAACAAUUUUCAUGACUUCCUGGGAAACCAGAGGCAUAAAUGGAGCAAGAGAGCUGUGAUUUGUUACUAUCAUUUUUUUCCUUUUGGAAUUGGAAUUCUCUUCAGUGACACUUGGAUCUUGGACUGAAUGAUAAUGAUGAGAUUGGGCAACGAAAGGAAAGAUCACGUCUCGUUCCUCCUUCAAAGUUCAAUAACGUCUAUGUGAGCCCAUGUUUCCCACCUCUGUCCCAUAGCUCACCUAUUACCAUUACCAGUACUAGCCAUGUCUUCUGCUAGUUCACAAUUCCAGUUUACCUAGCUGUCUGUCUGUUAUUUUAUAUCUCCUGUGUGCUGAUAUCUCCUGUCAGGUGAGGGGAAUGCGUUGGGCAUGAAGAGAACUGAGCUCAAAUCCUCACGUGCCUCUUUCUGAUUGAAGCACGUGAAAUAUGUGACUUCACAUUUUGGAGAGUUUAUUUUCUCGUCUGGAAAAGAGGGUUACUAUUGUCUGUUCUUCAGGGCUCUUUUGAACAUUGAAAGCGAUCGUAAUGAAUGUGAUGCAGUAAAAGCACGUGAAGUACACACAUGCAUAUUUGAUAUGUAAUGAAAUACCGACUUUCUCUGAAACUGUGUGGCACAUUUGGAACUUCCUUUCUAGUGCUCAGGACUUUCUUCCUUGUGUGGGCCAUCGUUCCAUUUUUUUUGGAAACAAGUGUUUGCCUGCCCACUCCACAGUGUUAUGAGAGUACAGUAAAAACACACUGUGCUGUGUGCUUUGGUGGAUAGAGUACUGAGAGAGACGCAUAGCUUAACUCACAGGGACGUCAAGUCAGUAUUGCCAGGUUCCUCCCAUCCCUUACCAGAAUCCUCAUUCUCCACUCUGGCCCCCUUUCCCGAAAUUUAGUCAUUCGACAGACGUUCUGAGGUGAUUUCAUCUUCUCCAAACUUUACUUAUCACCUCCACUCUGAUUCAUGCUCUGUUAAUUUUGCUGCCAAGUUUCAUAUCCUUAUGGUUAAAUACUCUCUUCCAUGAGAAUGUGCCACGGGAACUUUUAAAAUCUGCCCAAGAUGGAACUGCUCUUCGUUAAUUACUCUCUUCUCCAUUAUCAUCAAUAAAGUUGUCAUUUAUUAUCAUAAAAAUUACUACAUUCUAUUGUUUGUACGUCCACAUUCUUUUACACCGAAUCUCUUUGUCUAUAUUUUCACUCACUCCCUCGCUAGAUUUUUCUGAUGUACCUAAUUAAACUCCUGGUCUCACCAAUCCCCUCUGUCUCUUACUGGUGUCUCCGUCCAAUCCUUCAUUAAAGAAAAACACGUAUUGCUGCAUCAUAAUGAGCUCCUUAUUUUUACCUAUUGAUCUCUACCUGUGUGCCAACCUGUCAUCACUAUUUAUCUAUUCAUAAGGGAAAAUGUUGUAGGUUCCCAUUGAUCUACCACCCAACCUGAAAAUUAGGACUUUGGGGAUAAUCCAUAUCAAAUACAUGGUACAUCCCCUUGAGUCUUUCUUCUUCAAUAUCCUCUCAGCCUGAAUCCUAUGUUCAUCUUUCUCUUCCUUUUUUUUUUUUGUCGUGCUUUAUUUUUAAUGUACUUUUGUUCCAUCUAUUUCUGCUCCCCGAUGUGUAUUUUGUGGUUGUUUAUAAUCUGAUGAAAAAGUUGUCAAUAAUAAUCUUUGGGAAUUUACAGAUUUUCAGCUAAUAUUAUUAUGAUAAGAUCAACAAAAUUGUAGCAUAACUCUCUGGGCCAUUCAGGGAAAUCAAAAAAAAAAAAAAAAAGGAUUUCUUUCCUGGGUGGAGUGACUGAGCUCAAUUAGGACAUUCUACUGAUAAUACAAAAAGGGCUUCCAGGAGGACCCAUGCCUACAACUACAUCUGGGAUAUGUUUGUGUUUCCACGUCAAUAGGAAAGAUUCCUAAAAAUAACAUCAACCAAAAAAAAAAAAAAAAUAGGCAGAAUUGUUGAGCAUCCCAAGCCCCCCAUGAAUGACUGUUUGCAUCAUUUAAGUAUGUGGGGACCAAGUAGAAGCAUCUUGGCAGCUCCUCUCAGACAUCUAAGCUUCAGAUGUGUGGUCAUCCCUCUUCUGAAUUCCUAGGUUCUGGUAACACCACGUUUCCCUUUUGUUCCUCCAGCCCUAGUGAAAAUAACUUCUUUUUGCAGUUAAAAACUUUUGAGUUACAGCAGCAUUCAUCUUUUUUUUUUUUUUUUGGUCUUAUUAGGGCUGAACUCAUGGCAUAUGGAAGUUCCCAGGCUAGGGGUCCAAAUUGGAGCUGGAGCUGUUGGCUUACACCACAGGGGUUGAACCCGCAUCCUCAUGGAUACUAGUCAAGUGUUACCACUGAGCCAUGACAGGAACUCCGGCAUUUAUCUUUUAUCCUCUAAGCCACUUUCAGUGUACACCUUUGUGUCUGUGUAUCUUCAUUAAAAUUUCUGUUUUCUGAAUGGUUCCAAAAUGACUUGUAACAUACCGGGUGUGGGAUGGGUGGGAAAUGAAAUCAAGUCUGUUCCUGUCUCAUCAUUAUCAGAUCACACUUAUUCACUUACAUUCAUUCCUUCUCCCUUCACCAAUACUUAUUGAUUGCACCUCAAUGACCAGCAUUGGUAGAAGUCGAGUGAAGCGUUAGGACAACUCUUGCCCUCAAGGUUUGCAAGCAAAGUAGGGGCGAUAUGAUAAUCCCCCAAGUUGACAUUCAGGUAGUGAUUUAUAGACUUCAAAGUAUGAAGUACGAUGAUCCUCACCCUCUCUGACAGCAACAAGGCAGACAGUUUUUUCUUUCCAUUAUGUAAAUAAAAACCAUGGCUCAGACAUUCUCAGCUUGACUCUGCCCGUCAGCAGCGUAGUGGGGACAGGAACCCAAGAACUUUGCUGCCACUUUGCCAAAGGGAGAAGUGAUGUGUAUGAAUUGAUAAUAGAAUGUCUUCUAACUCAUAAGGUUUAUUUUUCAUGAUUUAUGUCUUUUUUAUUUUUUUGACUUUUUUAUUUAACCUCCGCACACCCGCAGCAUUUGGAGGUU